CAAUAGCGUAUAUUAAAGUUGUUGCAGUUAAAAAGCUCGUAGUUGGAUUUCGGGACGGGCCAGUUGGUCCGCCGCAAGGUGUGUUACUGACUGGUCUGUUCUUCUUCGCAAAGACUGCGUGUGCUCUUCGUUGAGUGUGCGUAGGAUUUACGACGUUUACUUUGAAAAAAUUAGAGUGUUCAAAGCGGGCUAUCGCUUGAAUACAUGAGCAUGGAAUAAUGGAAUAGGACUUUGGUCCUAUUUUGUUGGUUUCUAGGACCGAAGUAAUGAUUAAGAGGGACAAUUGGGGGCAUCCGUAUUUCGUUGUCAGAGGUGAAAUUCUUGGAUUUACGAAAGACGAACAACUGCGAAAGCACUUGCCAAGAGUGUUUUCAUUAA
rnacentral:rRNA from 1 species